rnacentral:pre_miRNA from 1 species
AGUUGAAUUACUGGAUCAUAUACUAAGAGAAUAUUCAAUCUUAUAAGAAACUGUCAAUCUGUUUUACAAAGUGGUAAUACCACUUUGCAUUUCCACCAGUAAU